CGCAUCUGUGCAUGCAGCAUAUCAAUAAGCGGAGGAAAAGAAACUAACAAGGAUUCCCCUAGUAACGGCGAGUGAAGCGGGAAGAGCUCAAAUUUGAAAUCUUAAAGGGUUUCCCUUUACGAAUUGUAGUUUAAAGAAGUGUUUUCUGUUGAGGUUUUGGUAAAAGUUCUUUGGAAUAGGACAUCAUAGAGGGUGAGAAUCCCGUAUUUGACCUUUACUUUCAACUUUGUGAUACACUUUCAAAGAGUCGGAUUGUUUGGGAAUGCAGUCCAAAAUGGGUGGUAAAUUUCAUCUAAAGCUAAAUAUUGGCGAGAGACCGAUAGCGAACAAGUACCGUGAGGGAAAGAUGAAAAGAACUUUGAAAAGAGAGUUAAACAGUACGUGAAAUUGUCAAAAGGGAAGCGUUUGACACCAUGUGUUGUUUUUCUGAAAAUCAAUUAAAGAACUGUUUAUGCUAAGUUGUUUAGACUUUAUCAGCUAACUGUUUAGUUUUGAGCUUUUCUUUAAUGCACUUUUCAGUUAACAAGUCAACAUCAAUUUCUUUUGCUGUAAAAAAGCUUGAGGAAGGUGGCUUGAGAUUCGUCUUAAGUGUUUAUAGCCUCUUGCCUAUGCAGUCGGAGAGAUUGAGGUCUGCAGCGUAGAUCCUUCGGGGCUAAAUGCAUUUGUGCUAAGUUAUAGCAUUUUAUAGACAACUUGUUGACUAUGAUUUGUCUUGUAGCUUACUCGCUUAUGUUAUUUUACCUACGCUUAGGAUGUUGAGCGCAUGUCUCUCUCU
rnacentral:rRNA from 1 species